AGAACGAACGCUGGCGGCAUGCCUAAUACAUGCAAGUCGAACGAACUCUUCGGAGUUAGUGGCGCACGGGUGCGUAACGCGUGGGAAUCUGCCCCUUGGUUCGGAAUAACAGUUGGAAACGACUGCUAAUACCGGAUGAUGACGAAAGUCCAAAGAUUUAUCGCCAAGGGAUGAGCCCGCGUAGGAUUAGCUAGUUGGUGAGGUAAAGGCUCACCAAGGCAACGAUCCUUAGCUGGUCUGAGAGGAUGAUCAGCCACACUGGGACUGAGACACGGCCCAGACUCCUACGGGAGCAGCAGUAGGGAUAUGGACAAUGGCAAAGCCUGAUCCAGCAAUGCCGCGUGAGUGAUGAAGCGUUAGGUUGUAAAGCUACUUUACCGAGUAUAGAAUAAGU
rnacentral:rRNA from 1 species